ACCUGGGGUGGGUGGGUACCACACCCGCCAUUUUUGUUGUUGUUGUUGCUGUUAUUGUUUUGUUUUUGUUUUUAAGACAGAGUCUCACCCUCACCCAGGCUGGAGUACAGUGAUGCGAUCUCAGCUCACGUCGUCUGCUUUUGCAGGUCAAGUCACUUAAGGAAGAUUGACAGAAGGACACAUACCAAGAAAGUCGGGGAGGAAAUUACAUGAUGUGUGAGAUUUGCUAUAAAAUCAUGAGAGGAAGAGGAGAAGCAUGUAGGAGUAUACAUGUAAUGAGAUUGGCCAUCAGCAUCAUUUCAGGAUGAGUAUUUUGUGUCAAGUGGUUUCAAGGAACAGUGUAAAGGAUCCAUGGCCUCAGUCACCAUGAAGACCCUCCCAAGAGCCAACCGUCCUGGGCCCAUAUAAAUGAAUGGAGACAUGGAAGUCACCCUUACAAGACCUAGAACCUGACAGAGCAUACAAGACAGAAGCCCAAAUAACUAAGAACAGGAAGCUAAAGUCCCCUUGUAGGUCACUCAUGGGGAACUGCCUAGACCCUGGGUCUUGUACCUCGUGCCAGCAGGGAGUGGCGCCGUCUUGUGAAUGUGAGACUCAGUCUGCGGCAGCUGCAGCACCAGCAUCCACCACUGCAGAGCCUGCCGUGUUACAUGCCAGAGUGGCGCAGGUCCAGCAUGUGCAGCCCAUCAAGUCAAAGCGGCGCAAAGGUAAAGAAGCCAGGGGUGCCAUUUGCUCUCUGGCCACCAUGUCCCCCACCUACUUCCCAUCCCCUCACCCAAGAGACAUCCUCAGCUUCCAGCUCCCUCGGACAAAGGCUAGUCCUGCCUCUUGUCUUUGUUGUUGAGCCUUCUUGCUUGAGGCAUUUUUGGUCUAGUCUCUUUCUUUCCCCGAUGAAAAUUCAGAUACUCCAGUUUUGGAAUCUCUAUCCCAUUCUCUAGCCUUACCUAUCCAGAUACUAUGGUACCUCAGUGAAGGAGCCGCUUAAAGGCCAAAUCAUUUCUUUUCUCCUAUUCAAUAAGGAAGCUAAUAAUUGGGAUAAGUCAGACUCAAAUAUUUGGAGACUUCUUAAAUUUAAAAUAGUUUGCCAUGGAAGAGAUUAUAGGGUGUUCUUAAUAGAUGGUUUGAAGUCACCUUGACAGAAGCAGCUUUAUUUCUUCCAAUUGUAAUUUGAAAACAGAAGGAAAAAUUGAGGGACAUGCUUAAAAUGACUGCAAAAGGUAUGAAAUGUUACUGCCAGAGCUGUAAAAAAGUUGUUUUUGUUUUGGUUUUACCCAAAAGUUUAGCCGAGGAGCUGUGAUUACUUUAAAAUUCCCACUUUGACAUGAAUGUCUCUUCAGCCCUUCUCCAGUAACUUCACGGGCUUUGUUUACCUCCUUGUUCUGAAAGACAGGUAGAGCUAGCUCAUGGUUACAGGUUCAAAAAGAGAUGAAAUGACUUUAGACUUGAAUUUGUAAGGUAAAGACUUGAGAGUUAGAAGGCCAGACCCUGCCUAUGGAAAAGAGUUUGUUUUCAUGGCUCCCCUUCCUACAGGAUGGGAAAGGGGAGGAGAGAGGAAACAUUUCAUUUUUUUUCUAUGGUCAAAUUGAAGACAAAAACUAAUACUUGUAAGACUGGAGAGGAGAAUUUAGUUACAAAAUCAGUCAAAUAUUUGUGUAUCACUACAUUUGUUGAGCAAAGGAAAGCUACCAGACUCAGAAAACCAGAGAUGCUAAUGGACCUGGCAUUAUUAACCAGGGUUUUCUACUGAGUUCAGCGCCCAGGGUGACUUCCAAUAACAACCACCCUCCCCUCCACACACUUUUCUCAGGACUGGAAAGCUCAGGCAGCCCAGGAUGAAUAAUGCAGUCACACGGGGGGGACUUCAACUUCCAGUAGAAAAACAAUUCAACUUCGAGUAGAAAAACACUCAUGCACUGUUUGUUCUCACACUGGGUCCUCACAGCCCCAUCAGGAUGGUAUUGCUACUCCAUUGACACAACACAGGAAGUUCUAUUUUGUAAUGAAGCUUAGAAUGACUAAUGGUUUCACAUGGGAACACCAAGCUCCAGAGCAGCUGAGUGGACCGGUGCUCAGGUACCUUUGUCCCCAUACCCUGCGCACUCUACUACCCCACUGCUUCCAGGUACAGAGCAGCCCUCAGUCUCUGGGAAUUAGCUUUGGACAGACUUUUACUCCCUCAAAUAAUGUGUAUCUGGCAUAUAAUAGGGACAAAACAGGCUGGUUCCCACAGAUACAGCACUUCCAUACAGUUAUCCAAUGCUCAAAGAAUUUCCCAAACAGUGUCUUAAUGUUACCCUCACAAUAACUAUUUGGAUCUAACAAGAGUAAGAAAAUAACCACAGAGAGGCCAGGCACAGUGGCUCACACCUGUAAUCCAAGCACAGGAGGCUGAGAUGGAUGGAUCACCUGAGGUCAGGAGUUUAAGACCAACCUGGCCAACAUUGUGAAGCCUCUUGAGUAGCUGGGACUACAGGCACAAACCACUGAACCUAGCAAUCCCUAAUUUUAUUUGCUAUAAUAUUUCCACUGAGUUUCAAGCCAAAUCCUCCCCGGAGCUUCCCCCUAGUUUACAUAGUCCAAAUUCAGCUCCCUGAGAACAUAUAUCUCCCUCUGUUUGGUUUUAUCAUUCUCUUUUUGCCUGUCUACGUUACCAGACUGAAAACUCUUUAGGGACAAAGAGCCUUUCGGUAUUCAUACUCAUUAUGUCUGGCGCAGGUAUACAAUGAAUAAAUAUCUGUUGGUUUUGCUUAUUUUUAUUUUAAGACAGGGUCUUGCUCUAUCACCCAGGCUGGAGUGCAGUGGUGCAAUCUCAGCUCACUGAAACCUCUGCCUCCCAGGUUCGAGCAAUUGUCCUGCCUCAGCCUCCUCAGUAGCUGGGACUACAGGUGCAUGCCACCACGCCCAGAUAAUUCUUGUGUAUUUUUGGUAGAGACAGGGUUUCACCCUGUUGUCCAUUAUGGUCUCGAUUUCCUGACCUUCUGAUGCACCCACUUUGGGCUCCUAAAGUGCUGGGUUACAGGUGUGAGCUCCCGUGCCUGGCCUUUUCUCUCCUUUAGAAGGACAUCGGUCAUACUGAAUUAGGCCCCCUCCUUCACUGCCUUGUAGAUUCCUAGUAGGAGCUCCUCAUUACUUAUGCAAAUUUCUACAGGCAGCUUGAAUUAAACAUAAACCUGGCCCUGCACAGUGGCUCAUGCCUGUAAUAUUAGCACUUCGGUAGGCCAAGGCAGGCAGAUCACCUGAGGUCAGGAGUUUGAGACCAGCCUGGCCAACUUUGUGAAACCUUGUCUCUGCAAAAAUACAAUUAGCCAGGCGUGAUGGCAGACACCUGUAAUCCCAACUACUCUGGAGACAGAGGCAGGAGAAUCAUCUGAACCUGGAAGGUAGAAAUUGCAGUGAGCCAGGAUUGUGCCACUGCACUCCAGCCUGGACAACAGAGUAAGACUGUCUCAAAAACAACAUCAACAAAACAUAAACCUGACUUCAGCAGCUGAAUAAAAGAGUUUACUUCUUUUCACAUAACAAGAAGUCCAAAGUCUCUGGCCAUUAGAAAUUAGCUAGCAUUGGAUUUAACCUUCUGUCAUAAACAAUAAACAAAAUAUAUUAAGUGACUCUUUGUAGGCACUGGGUAACAACCAAUGGAGGAAUAUGACCUUGGCAGAAAAGGACAAGAAGUGAACCCCACAUCAAUCCCAGAUUUCUGCUUAUGGGCAUUUCCUAAACAACAUCCUUUGACUCCAUGCCUCACAUCCAGGUAAGCGGAACCCCAUCUCUACUAAAAAUAUAAAAAUUAGCCAGGCGUGGUGGCAUGUGUCUGUAGUCCCAGCUACCGGGGAGGCUGAGGCAGGAGAAUCACUUGAACCCAGGAGGCGGAGGUUGCUGUGAGCCGAGAUCGCACCACUGCACUCCAAUCUGGGCAAUAAAGAGCGAAACUCCAUAAAAAAAAUAAAUAAAAAUAAACUUGUACCUAUUCCAUGUGACAUCUGCUGGUGAUGCUGCCUUUGUUGGGUACCCAUCACAGUCACUGUCCCUGGAUCUGUGAAAUCAAUGUGGCCAUCCCCCCUACAAAGGGAGCAGGGCUCUCCUUUUAUUGCUCCUAAAAUGGGCCAUAAGUCUGUCCCCACAACUGGACAGCUCCCCUUGGUUCAGUCCACCUUCCCUGUGUCCCUGAGCCUGGCCUCCAGUUGACCUUUAUGAGCAAGUCGGUGAGUGGGUGACCUUGGAAAAGACCAAACCAAGUCCUUGCUGCCUUCUCAGGAUGCCUUGCAGACCACCCUUUCCCUUGGCCAUUUUGUUGAAAAUGCAGUACAAAUGGAUUCGGUCACAGUAAACCCGGGGCUCAUCUUUGCUCCUCCCUCUCCAGUUGGCCCCCUCCUCCCAAAUCUGUGCCCCUAUCUGUCAAACUCUGCCUGGGUCACCACGACACCCUCCCUGGGGUAUUCCUCAUUCUGGAUUCCCACCCCUGCUCACCCAUCCACGUCUAAUCUUAUUGAUUCCCUGCAAACAGCUCCAGAAUCUGGGCCUUCAGUCUGUCCUCUGGGUCUGGGCCUUGUGCCUGUUCAACCUCUUCUCAGAACAACUUGGCCCCAGGAUGCCCUCAUCCCAUCCCUGCUGACAACUGGGAGUUUCAACCUCUGUGCCUGCGAGGCCUCUGCUCAGGUGUCCUUCAGGUGUCACCUGCCAUAUGGCUGUUACCUUGCCCAGCUUCCUUUCCGUGUGGACUUCAGUUGGGGCAAGUCUGGUUCCUCCACGACCUCAGCCCCAGCACAGAUACUGACCCUGAUGGGUACUCCUUGCCUGAAAGUCCCUGCGGGACACUGAGACCCCAGUCCCAUCAUGGCACCCAAGGGUGCUGUCUCCCCACCUUCAUGGCAGGGCUGCUGGUGUGGCACAGGUCAGCCUCUCCUGCAGGAGCCUUCACCACAACCACUGCAAAGGUGGGCAUCAGGCUGCAAAGGCCCUCAAUUUGGAGGGCCCCUCAGUUUUCAAGACUAUUCAGUUUGCAGAACAAGAAACUGAGGACCAAGAGGUGCACAUGUCAGUUCCAUCAGCUCCAGGGUCAGGGACAGGGAAAUACUGGAGUUGGACUACUAAGUAAAGCCCCAUGGCUUUUUCAGCCACUAGCGCUGCUAAGCCAAAACUGUAAUUACCUUGUCCCCGGUGCAGUUGACAUUUGGGGUGAGGUGCAUGACCUUCCCUUUAUGUCUGGCCAAUUAUGUCUCAAUCUAGUUGUCUUGAUUUGUAGCAGUUGGUGCAAUUUGUCCAAGGCAUUCAUCAACUCUGCCAAUUCUGCAAUAUAAGCUGAGUGACCUUGGGCAGGCUGCCUCCUUUCCCUGGCCUCUAUUGUCAUCUGCACAAUGGGGAUCACAGCAGAAUCUGCCUAUUCUGUGUCUAAAAUGAUUACCACCUGUGGGAUAUAAAGUGCACCAGUGAUACAUGGGCUGUUGGGUCCCAGAUGGUCACAAGUUGUCGCAGAUGUUCGAUGCUUCAUCCAGGGACCUCCUGCCACACACAGAGAGUGAGGGCUGGGGUCACACAGAGAGGUGGGCUGCACCAUGGUGCCCCACAGAUGCUUCCCCGGGCCUUUCCCUCAGAGGCACCUGCACUCUAUGAGGGCUUGGGCUCCCUGGAGGAACUGGCUAAGGUUUAGUGACCCAGGGGGCUUAACAGUGACACAUAAGUGCGAGAAGGAAAAAGGAGAGAAAGAGGGAGAAGACCUGGGAACCCCGCAGGGACAGUAGCCAACACCCGUUGGGGACUUUCUGUCCCUGCCUUAGUUUCUGUCCUACCUGGAGCGCUAGGGAGAGGCAGGUGAGGCACUGACCUUGGUGCCUAAUUUAAGGGGAGCCAGAAAUCUCAGGAAUCAAGAUAAAUACUAUUUUAAUAUGAUAUUGAAAAUAAAAAUAAUUCAAAUCAAAUCCAUGGUGGGCAAAAUAUCAACUCCUUAAUUAAAGCCAGUGUCUACCCAGGCCUCUAUAGGGGAUAAGCUUCCUCCUCACCCCUCUGGCUUAUCUCCCCUGCAGGACUCCCACAUUUCCUGGAAUAUCUCGCCCUUUACUGCCCCACAGGCUCUGCAGGCUGGGCUGGCCUCAUUCCAUCCAGGCUUGCAGCUCCAGCUGGGAGGAACAAGGUGGGGCCUGUUUAUGAAGGAGACUUGCCUCACUGUGCCUCUCCCAGUACCUGCUCCUGAGCUGUGCCAUGUGGCGCUUCCCUUUCCCAUGGGACCCCAGGUCCCUUCAAAACCCCUUGGCCACAGCCUAUGGCUUCCCAUUACCUUUAGUGACACAGCUCUUUUUGGUGUGUAAGACACUAGCCUACACGUUAGGUCUACCUCAGAGCUGACUCCAAGCCCUUCCCCACGGCUGGCCAGACCAGUCUGGGGUGCCCAGUGGCUUUGAAAUACUUUGGGUGGGAAUGAGGCUUGGCUGGCUCCCACACCCUGGGGUAGUGUAGGGACAAAUGGAGAAUGUCCUCAUGUGCCUGGGGCCCCACAAAAAUGAGUUCCUGAAUUUCCCAGGGGUGGCCACUGUCUCUCAGACCACUGUACACCUGCUAUGGUAGAUGACUCCUGAGGCACUGGUGACCAAAAGCUGGUCCUUUCCAGCUCCCCUGCCUCUCGCUUCUCAGCCUCUGACAUGACUGUCACUGGCAGCCUCCUGCUGGCUGCUCAGGUCUCUGGCUGGGGAGCCAAGGGACACUUGUGAGUCCUCUUGUCAAAGCCACCACCUGCUCUGAAAACCCUCCAUGAGACCUGAAGACAAACAAGCAUGCAUAAGUGUGUGGCCGGCCCUCCCUCAGCACCCUUUCCUCUACUGCAGGACCGAUGGCAUCAUCAGCAUAGGUCUGAUCCCCUUGCUGGUGUGGAAGCUGUAGAGGAAUAAGGAGCUCCAGGAUCUCAUCCCACACCCACUGGCCCCUGCCAGCAGGAGGAAACAGGACAUGGUUAAGUCCCUCUCCAUGAGAAAGAGCUGUGCUGCAACAAAGACCCCAUUGAGUGAAAUGCAGCCCAUAUGGAGCAGGAGGGUCUCCCAGACUGACUUCCUCCACUACAAUCCUCAAAGCGAUUCAUUUGCAAAACCUUCCUAAUAAGCACCACGUGGAUUCUUGGAUACCUCUGGGAUCUUGGUAAGAAUUUCCUUGUGGUGCUCAGACUCUGACUUGUCUUAACUCACCCUACCUACGUAGCAGGGGUAUCAGCCUUAUAAAGCAAUCUUGGACUGUCUGAAAUAAAGAAUGUUAUAAACACUUAGAAGUACUUUUAACAAUUGGCCCCCGGCCUCUUUCACAUUUACAGUGCUGGUAAAUGCAUUGAGUUUAGUGUGAAACGUAUAGGCUUUGGAAUCAGACAGACUUGGACAAUUCCAUCAAUUAUUGGAUGGUGACCUUAAACAAGUUAUGUGAAUUCUUCUGGCCUCAGUUUCUUUACUAGAAGAAUGAGAAUAAUACCUGCUUGUUUGUUAAGAAAAUUAAAUGAAAGAAAUAAGUCUGCCUUGGCACAUGAGAAUUCAAUAAAUCUGAGUUUCCUUUUCUUCUCCCACACAGACUCUGACCUGAAUUUAGCAUCUGAGUGUCCAGUAUAUCCGGUAAGAUUAGAAAGUGAUGGGGCCAUCAUUUGGGGAUUAUAAAUAAUGAUCUGAAACUGUGGCCAAAAAUUCCCUACAGAAUAGCAUUGUAAAAUAUCUUUGGCCUAAGGCGACGUGAUCAACCCCAAACUGUCUUUGUUUCAGGUUCUGUAAGCAUUCAGGCAGACGUUGAGAGUGCUGAUGGGGAAAGGUUCACAGAAAAAGGCAAAGCGAAACCAUGAUGUGCUAAAUAAACCCAGGGAAAUGCUUGGAAGAGAGAGGCACGGGUGGUAUCAUAAAAUAAGUAACUUCCACACAGAGCAUCGCUUUUCACACUGAACUCUACGCAGAAUCUGUUGUCUUCUCACAAAAGACAGAGUGGUUUUAUAGCCACAUAAAAUCCCUGCUGCCAUCAGAACCCAGCUCAGAGGGAGAGAAAAUAGGAAUUAAAGAGCAUGCAGAUCAGAGCAGAGACACGGCCCAGGUAGAGGAUGCCUAUCUAUGUUAAAUAGGUACCUAGCGUUUACCUUGAUGUGUGCGGAGAGCAAACCCUAGGGUUUGCAGAAAUCAUUCAAGUUCCUGGCUAAAAACUGGGAUACCUAGAAACAAGAAACAGUUUGUGAAGACUGGGCUUCAUGAGGAUAAAUCUUGGACUACUGACAGCAGAGAAGCUAAGUCGGUUUUCGUUUACUUGUUUCUUUUGAAAUGCCAGAAGUGACCAUUUCAAUGACAAUAGAAAAAUGAAUUUUAGGGCAAAAAAAGGCAUUCCAGAAAUAAUGUUAAAUUAAAAGGACUGCAGAAGGACAGGACUUAAUCUGGGCCAGAACAAAAACAUUGCUCUCAGCCACAUCUGGAUCAGAAAUUUACUGACUCCCUGGGGACAAUGUGUUGAGAGUUCAUACCAGAACUGUAUUUUACGUUAUUUGUAGUCUGUUGAAAAUGUAUGCUCUAAUUAACUCUUCCAAUAAACGGUGUGUAUAGUUCAAUCUAUAAUAAGGGUGCUGUCAUCCUUGCCUAAGCUUUAUAGCAUUCUAAUGCAAAGAACUCCUUCAGGAAUUGUUUAAGAUCUUUAUCUGAAGUCAGGGAGCAUAAGAAAUCAUUUAAGUCAAAAUCCUUGCAUUAGGAGUUGGAGAAAGAUCCUUAGACGUAUUAAACUUGCAUCACGGGAAAGUGAACCACACUGUCCACAAAGCCUCAAAAUAUCCCCAAGAAAUAGGAUCUUCUUGAGUGUAUUAUUUUAGAAAAAAAUAUAUACUGUUUAAAAGGCAGCAUGUCAGAGUCUUUCUAUGUAUACAGUUAGAUGGAUAAAAUCAGUGAUGUAACAAAAUAGAAAGAGGAAGACCAGGAGAUUGGCGAGCCUGUGAGAAUGCUACUGACCACAUCUUUCAUUGCAGGGACUCAAUCAACAGCAUCUAAAAUUGAAAUACUCGAUUUUAAAUAAAAUGGCUCCAACCAUUGUUCAAAGGAUGAAGAUGGGAUUAGGAGAUACCCUGCACUGCAACUCAAAACAAGGAUCUUUGGCCCUUUGGCCGGGUACAGUGGCUCACACCUAUAAUCCCAGCACUUUGGGAGGUCGAGGCAAGUGGAUCACAAGGUCAAGAGAUCGAGACCAUCCUGGUCAACAUGUUUGAGCCACAUGUGUUGAGCUUAACUCUCCUACCCUCCGCAUCAGCGAUAUCACUGGCGUUCUGUGCAUAAGUCUCGUCCACCAAGACUACGGUCCAAGAAGGAGGCCAAGCUGGUAGAGAUCAUCCCUGUGAGAUAAUGGAACAUUAACUCAGUAAAUCCUGGGUGAACAAAAGGCAGCUGGCUCACCCAGGCCUCGGUUGUAGUCCACUUGUCUUGUGUUCUACUUCUGCAUGAAGCUUCUUGCCGAACUGAAGAGACCAACAUCUCUUAAUAGGUUAUGCUUCUAAUAAUAAAACUUAAGACAAUUUUGAUUUUAAUUCCAAUAUUUCAUACCCAAGUUAUAUAUUCUAUGUUUCUGCUUAUAACCACAAGCUUCUCAAGACACAAACAAGACAACAGUAAAAAACCAAACAUCAGCCACCUCCCCCACCUCCUGCAAAGUUGUGAAAGCAAUUGUCCAUAUUUUAUUUAGGAAAAUUUCCGAAUGACAGUAAUAUAAUAGUUCCACUCUAGUUUAAAAAAUAGAUUUGACUUACAUUUCAUUCAUUGCUUAAAAAUUGUUAGGCUGGGCGUGGUGGCUCAUGCCUAUAAUCCCAGCACUUUGGGAGGCCAAGGCAAGUGGAUCACAAGGUCAAGAGAUCCAUCCUGGUCAACAAGGUGAAACCCCGUCUCUACUAAAAAAUACAAAAAUUAGCUGGGCAUGGUGGCGCGUGCCUGUAGUCCCAGCUACUCAGGAGGCUGAGGCAGGAGAAUUGCUUGAACCAAGGAGGCAGAGGUUGCGGGGAGCCGAGAUCGUGCCAUUGCUCUCCAGUCUGGGUAACAACAGCAAAACUCCAUCUCAAAAAAAAAAAAAAAAAAUUGUUAGGGAUGUUAGAAAAAAAGUGAAAGACUGAGAAAUUUCCCUAGGGAAAAAGGAAAAGGACAUUUGAUUAUUAUUGCAAAUGGUUGCAAUUGGGAUUUUAAAAAUUUUAUUGUAUUUUAAGUUCUGGGAUACAUAUGCAGGACAUGCAGCUUUGUCACAUAGGUAAACACGUACAGUGGCAGUUUGCUGCACCCAUCAACCCAUCACCUAGGCAUGAAGCCCCACAUGCAUUAACUAUUUAUCCUUAUGCCCCCCACAACAGGCCCCAGUAUGUAUUGUUCCCCUCCCUGUGUCCAUGUGCUCUCAUUGUUCAGCUCCCACUUACAAGUGAGAACAUGGAGUAUUCGGUUUUCUGUUCCUGUGUUAGUUUGCUGAGGAUAAUGACUUCCAGCUCUAUCUAUGUCCUUGCAAAGGACAUGAUCUCAUUCCUUUUUAUGGCUGUAUAGUAUUUCAUCGUGUAUAUGUACACAUUUUCUUUAUCCAGUCUAUCAUUGAUGGGCAUUUGGGUUAGUUCCGUGCCGUUGCUAUUGUGAACAGUGCUGCAAUAAACAUACACAUGCAUGUAUCUUUAUAAUAGAAUGGUUUAUAUUCCUUUGGGUAUAUAUGCAGUAAUAGGAUCGCUGGGUCAAAUGAUAUUUCUGUUCCUAGAUCUUUGAGGAAUUGCCAUACUCUCUUCCACAAUGGUUGAACGUUACAUUCCCACCAACAGUGUAAAAGCAUUCCUAUUUCUCUAUGGCCUCGCCAGCAUCGGUUGCUUCUUCACUUUUUAAUAACUGCCAUUCUGAUUGGUGUGAGAUGGUACCUCAUUGUGGUUUUGGUUUGCAUUUCUCUAAUGAUCAGUGAUGUUGAGGAAAAGGAAAAUUUAAACAAUGAUGAAGCAAAAGAAAAGGAAUUGUUAUUCAUAGCUGGUUGGCUGAGUACAAGUAGAUAUAACCUUUGGGGAAGGAAAUUUAGCAAUACCUAUGAAAAUUGAAAAUGCUUAUAUCCUUUGACCUGGCAGUUCUACAUCUAGAAAUAUGAAGUAUUCGCACAAGUAAGUACGUGGGAAUAUAUGUACAAGGCCGGGCGUGGUGGCUCACGCCUGUAAUCCAAGCACUUUGGAGGCCAAGGCAGGUGGAUCACCUGAGGUCGGGAGUUCAAGACCAGCCUGACCAACAUGGUGAAACCUCGUCUUAAAAAAUAUAUAAAUAAAUAAAGAAUAUAUAUACAAAGAUGAUAACUGCAGCAUUAAUUGUAACAUCAGAAACCUGGAAGCCAUCAAAGUCUCUACAAAUAAAAGUAUACUUUGGAUCACACGAUGUACACACACUGUGGACUACUACCCAACUGUUACAAAGAAACUAAUAUCUUUAGAAAUAAAAGCAAAUACCUUUAGAAAUAAAAAUAUCUUUAGAAAAAAAUUAUCGUGAAACACAAAUAAAUAACAAUAUUUUAUAUAGAUGAUCCCAUUUAUGAAAAAUGUAAGAUAAGUAAAUGACAAGAACAUUGAUAAUGAUAAAAAUUGGCACUUAGGAGUUUAUGAUUAGCCAGGGCAGUUCUCAGUACUUUAUAUGAAUUCUCUCCUUCAAUCCUUACAAAGGCCCCAUAGGGAAGUGGCUAUUUUUAUCACUAUUUUGCGGAUUUAGAAAACGAAGCACAGAGACUGAGUAACUUGUUCAAGAUCACACAGCCACUAAGUGAAAAAGAGGUUCCUCAAAGUUUCUGCUAAACUGUGAGGGAAGGAAAAUAAGGACAUAGAGCUCCAUUUAUUUUAUAUUAUUUAAUUUUUUGAUGAGAGCAAGUAUUUACUUGUUAUCUAGUAAAAUAUUUUCAAAUUUCUUCAAAAUAAAUGAUAAACAAAAUAAUUCCAGGAAUUGCAAUAUACUUAGAAUGACUAUCAAUCAUUUUACUACCUCUGGGAACAAAUAAAAUCACAUCUCUUUUAUUUUUUGAAUUAUCUGUAAGAGGUCCAUUAUCAUCCUUCUUAGGCACCCCAGGAAUACAACUACUAUUCAGGCUGACAGCUCCUAAGCCCCAGGCAAAGAGAGAGAAGGAAAGUAAGAACAGUCUGCUGGUAUUAUCACUUCUCAUUGAACUCUGGUACCGAAGUCUGGAAGAAUUUAGUUAUUUCCUGCAACCAACAGAUUCAUAGACGGGCUGGAAUAACUGAAGUAUAUCAUAAUGGACGCAAUGCACUGGUCACCCUGAGGCCAUACUCUGGGCUUUGCAGAAAACUAAUAUGAUUUCCAAUUAGAAGAACAUUCAGGCAAAGCAUACAGGGCACACUAUGCACAAAAUUGUGAUCAUGUGCAAUGCUUUGUUUUUAUAUUCAUUUCUUUCUUUGUAUUCUUAAAAAUCUUCAAUCACUGACACAAGUGUCCUAGAAUUUGCUCCAGGUAUAGAUUACACGUGACAAUCCCUCUAAAUACCGUAUCUGUAUAAAACUGGCUGUAAUAAAGAUAAAGGAUUUCCAGGCUUAGAUGAGGGAAGAGGAAAAUGCAAAAGCGUAGAUCUGUAUUGCCAAACAGUAAAAAUCUUUUGAUGCCUUGGAGACAUUACAAACCAAAGAGACAAUACUAACAAAAACAGAUAUUUGAGAUUUCAUUAAAAUCUUCUUAUACCUCUACCUCUGUGGGCCAAAAUAAAGACUUCCUUCCUCCAUCUGAGACCCAAUGUUUGAAUCUAAUUUUUCACCUUACUUAAAAAAAUAAUCUUAUUAAUCUCUUAACUGGAAUUAGUUUUAUAACUAAAUUUUAACUUUUUAGAGGCACUCAAAUCUAUACAGAUACUCACUAGUUAAGCAUCACACUAUCCUAAAGUCCAGCAAAGAAUGUGCUACCCACCAUAUUUGAUCUGUCCACACAGUAAACCAAUCAUUGUCUUGAUAGGUUGUGCAAAAGUGAAAAGAUUUAUUCACAGGGCGGCCCCUCAAGGAGGCAGGAGAACAGCUCUCAAAUCUACGUUACCAAAGAUAAGGCUUAGGGUGUCUAUAGGUUAGAGAAAUGGCAUGGCCUAAGGCUUGGGAAAGGUGACUGGCAACAAAAAUGAAGUAAUUGGUGAUCUGUGCAAGCAUAGUUGGGGUUCAUGGCAGUUCAUAGGACACAUGUUUUGAAAACGAUAGUGUUAGCACAAUCUGAGGGUAGAGGUUUUGACCCUCUGACAUCAAAAGGCUACCUCUCAGAUAUUUGCAUAGGCCCAGUUAAACGGUCAGUGGUCUCAACUGCUUUGAGUUGGACAAGAGCUGCUCCAAGUUCCUGAAAAACAACUUAAGCAGUUGUUAUGAUGGUGACAUAUACAGUAAAGGUGCUUUCUACAAGGAAGCUAGUGAAGGCUAAGUUCCAGUGUUCAGCAGCAUAGCUGGUGGCUUUAUGGGUGACACACACACAAAAAGUAACAAAGAGCAGGCAACCAAAAUCAAGCAAGGCAGGUUAAGUUUGGCAGAUCCAAACAGAUUAACCCCUCAGUUUUAAAUGUCAAAAAAUAUAACCAAAUUAAUAAUAAUUGCUUAAGAAAUACGUGAAAUACUACAAUGCUAAAAAAAAAAAAAAAAAUUCUGGCUCAGGUUAAGUGUUAUUAGACUGUAAAAUUUUCCCAGUAGUUUCUCAAUACCAUAAGAACCAGUUGAUAAAUCUGUCAGCUUACAGUCAGAUAAUGGUAUUGUGAGAAACAAAGAAGUAAAAUAUGAUCCUUUAAAAAAUUUAAAUUAAGACCAAAAAUGUAGCAUUCACGACUUCCAAAUAAUGAGACGAAACAGAAAAGCAGAAAUGUAAAGUUCUAUGAAGAAAAGAGAAAAAAAAAGGUAACAACAGCAACAACAAAAAAACAACCAAAAAUCUACUGAAGAAAAUGAUAUCUAAUUAUUCUAUCUCUUGGUUUGUCUUUCAAAACAAAGCCUGUGUAAUUAUCCCAAAAAUACUUAGUAAGCACCCCUCCUGCAUUAUGCUAGACCUCAGAGAUAUGGGGGUAAAUAAAAUAGAGAAGGUCAAAUAAGGGGAAGCAAAGAUACCAGGAAAAUUCAAAGGAAGCUGGAAGAUGGAUAUCAGGAACAGAGGAGCAAUGGAGGUGAAAAUAGGUCAACAGGACAAAAAGAUGUGUUCCUGUUUUAAAAAAAAUACAGUGUAGAGUAAAUAUAACAAAACAAUAAA